rnacentral:lncRNA from 1 species
GCUCAGAGUCUGAGCUGACCACAAGCCCUACAUGAGCUAAGGCAGAGGCUGCCAAACAAACAAAUGCAAAUGCAGGCUGCAUUAACAGAGGCAUAGCAACCAGAACAGAGAAGGGACUGCCCUACCCUGCUCCACACUCAGCCAGACCCAGCUGGAGCUCUAGGACCUUUCUGACACUUUGGGGCUGGCACCCAGCACUGUGCUAUCCUAGGAAGAAACAGCUAAAUCCCAAUGAAAG